rnacentral:sRNA from 1 species
UUUAUUUAAUAUGCAGGGUAUUGCGUUGGGAAGGCAAAGUUAAGGAUAAGAUGGGGGAACAGGAAGUAUUUAUUGGUAUUUGUUCAAAAUUUCCAGACGUCAAAGUUGAUGGGAAAGAUAUAAGCCGGAAGUCGUUUCAACAUACGAACUGGAACCGAAUUACAGCAUACGUGAUCGAGUACGCUUGGAUGGAUGUAUUACCGCACUCGAAAGCUGUCGUAUCGAAAUUUUUCAACUGGCUACCGAUUAUUUUUUGUGGCAAAACAAAACAACACAAACGAACAUUAACAUCUACCCGGCUUUUGUUAAAAGUAUAGAGAGAACCUGCCUUUCCUUACCACCGGAUUAGAAGACAUCGUCAGCAUCUCCAAGGUCGUUUUCUCCGACUCCAGCCGAAUUCGACGAUCCCGAGGUCAGCCAGGCCUGCGCUCAAUUUGCUCACAACAGGAGUCCGGCAACAAGGCGCUCACAACCUUUCACAAACACCAUCCGAAGCCCGCACCGACAACCGACGCAUUUCAUCAAAUCCCACCAAAAAUUCUCUAUAAAUUGAAUGCAGUCGGAGCACCAACAAGGUAGCCUUAAACUUGCGAAUGCCUCAACGUGGAGAUUACACCAACCGAGCCCGCAUCAACACCCAUCAAAAGUUCCCGAUCAACACUCUUCUCCACAUUGUUGUAAACAUAUUUAACAUAAGUAAACCAACUAUUAUCAACUCUCGAUUCUAA